ACUGUUCCUCGUCCCAGAAGACUUGCUGCUGCCGAUAGCAGUGGCCUGAGAGGGCUCUGUGACUCUUGGUGUUCUGUUCAAGGAAAGAGGGACUUGUGAUCCUUGUGUAGGGAGAGACAGUCUGUGUUUGUUGGGAACCGUCAUGCCAGGUGGAAGUGCGCUGGAGGGGGAAGGGGAACGGAUGGAGCUUCAGUGACUCCAGCAAGCACAAGUGGAGUUUGCAGCCGAGAAGCAGGAUGGGUGUCGGUGAGGGCAUAUCAGCCUGUGUGUGAAGGGGGGUGUCAGAAUGACUGGGGAGGAUUCUUGCUAAAGACAAACUUGAAUAUGAAGACUCUCAGUUGGGAGCUUCUCCAAGCUGAUGUCACAACAGGAAUUUGCUCAGACUGGAUCCUACCAGACAGAGGAAAACCAGAGCUUGGCCUGGCAGCGCCCAGGACUCAGAGGGGAUACCUCACGUAAAUGAGACAUCUCUUGUCCGAUAUAAGGCAUCAGACAAACCAGCUGCGCUGCGGGGAGAGGCUCCGCCAGACCUGCUGAGCAUCAUAGCUGUGCCUGCAGCGUGUGCAGAGCCAAGGCUGACAGACAGCAGGGAGGUGAGACGGAAUCAGCCAGCAUCAUCUUCCUUCAUCUUCAGGAGCUGUGGUUGCAACCGUGAGGAAAGUUGGGGUCCGGUUUUGCUGUACCCCUUAGAACAAGGAUCAAGAGAAGGCAGUCUCCAUGAAUAAGCCAGAGCUGCUUUGCUGCCUCCCCAUACCCGCUCCUCAAGCCCAGCACCGCUCUUGGCUGUUCUGGAUGAGUCCCCUCCAGUACCUCCACACCACAAGCCCAGUGCUUCCCCGAACCUAGCAUCUUCCGCCUUCAUCGGCCUUCAGUUUCUCUGUGGCGUCACUGUCACAGCCUAGCCCCGUCCUACCCAUCCCUGGAGAGCUAGGAGCAGACGACAACCACGCUGACACUUAAGAAAGUGGGUGUCACUCGAUACUUAGGUAUUUAUUAAGAUGUUAUGGACAUUUGAUCUUUUUCAGCCAAAGACAUUGGGGGUAACUAGCCCUAUGCGCAUGGUUUUCUCUGGCUAUGGGACCGAAUAAAUCUGAGGAGGAGGCUCUCUCUCUCUCCGUGUCUGUCUCUCUCUCUCUGUCUCUUUCUCUCAUGGUUGGAGCAGAAGCAAGACUUGUGGUUGGUCCUCAUCGCCCAUGGCAGAACAGCAGGGCAACGGCAGCUGGAUCAGAAGCAGUGUCUACCUUGUUCUGUAUUCAUGAUCUGUUUUUCCAUUGUGCCCCCUAAUAAAUUAUUGGCCAGA